GAGAGGCGCAAACGUUAUUCGGAUUUACUGGGCUUAAAGAGUUCGUAGGCGGCGCAGAAAGUAGGGUGUGAAAGCCCUCGGCUCAACCGAGGAAUGGCGCUCUAAACUACUGUGCUUGAGGAAGCUAGAGGUGAGCGGAACUGAUGGUGGAGCGGUGAAAUGCGUUGAUAUCAUCAGGAACACCGGAGGCGAAGGCGGCUCACUGGGGCUUAUCUGACGCUGAGGAACGAAAGCCAGGGGAGCGAACGGGAUUAGAUACCCCGGUAGUCCUGGCCGUAAACGAUGAGCACUAGGCCGGAGGGCUGCACAGCCUUCCGGCCGUAGCUAAAGUGUUAAGUGCUCCGCCUGGGGAGUAUGGUCGCAAGGCUG
rnacentral:rRNA from 1 species